AACGAACGCUGGCGGCGUGCCUAACACAUGCAAGUCGGACGAGAAAGUACUUCGGUACGAGUAGAGUGGCGCACGGGUGAGUAAUGCAUAGGAACGUACCUUCAAAUGGGGGAUAACUACGGGAAACUGUAGCUAAUACCGCAUAAAGACGAGAGUUUAAAGGUGGCCUCUAUUUAUAAGCUACUGUUUGAAGAUCGGCCUAUGUCCCAUUAGCUAGUUGGCGGGGUAAGAGCCCACCAAGGCGACGAUGGGUAGCUGGUCUGAGAGGACGAUCAGCCACACUGGAACUGAGACACGGUCCAGACUCCUACGGGAGGCAGCAGUGGGGAAUUUUGCACAAUGGGGGAAACCCUGAUGCAGCAACGCCGCGUGAGUGAAGAAGGCCUUCGGGUUGUAAAGCUCUUUCGGCUGGGGAGAAGGGUUUGUUACCUAAUACGUAACAGAUUUGACGGUACCAGAAGAAGAAGCACCUGCUAACUUCGUGCCAGCAGCAGCGGUAA
rnacentral:rRNA from 1 species